UUGAAUGAUGAUCCAAAUUAUAGGAAUUGCCGUCAGAUCGAAAUCUGAAGAUUAACUUCAUUCUGAUC